rnacentral:rRNA from 1 species
GUCCACGCCCUAAACGAUGUCAACUGGUUGUUGGACGGCUUGCUGUUCAGUAACGAAGCUAACGCGUGAAGUUGACCGCCUUGGGAGUACGGCCGCAAUGUUGAAACUCAAAGGAAUUUACGGGGACCCGCACAAGCGGUGGAUGAUGUGGUUUAAUUCGAUGCAACGCGAAAACCUUACCUACCCUUGACAUGUCAAGAAUCUUGCAGAGAUGUGAGAGUGCUCGAAAGAGAACUUGAACACAGGUGCUGCAUGGCCGUCGU